rnacentral:rRNA from 1 species
UACAGAGGGUGCGAGCGUUGUCCGGAAUCACUGGGCGUAAAGGGCGCGUAGGCGGCAUGACAAGUCACUUGUGAAAUCUCCGGGCUUAACUCGGAACGGUCAAGUGAUACUGUCGCGCUAGAGUGCGGAAGGGGCAAUCAGAAUUCUUGGUGUAGCGGUGAAAUGCGUAGAUAUCAAGAGGAAUACCUGAGGUGAAGACGGGUUGCUAGGCCGACACUGACGCUGAAGCGCGAAAGCCAGGGGAGCAAACGGG